rnacentral:rRNA from 1 species
UACGUAGGGGGCAAGCGUUGUCCGGAAUCAUUGGGCGUAAAGCGCGUGUAGGCGGCUUGGUAAGUCCGCUCUGAAAGCCCGGGGCUCAACCCCGGGAGGCGGGUGGAUACUGUCAGGCUCGAGUCCGGAAGAGGAGUGUGGAAUUCCUGGUGUAGCGGUGAAAUGAGCAGAUAUCAGGAGGAACACCAAUGGCGAAGGCGGGUCUCUGGGCCGUAACUGACGCUGAGGAGCGAAAGCGUGGGGAGCGAACAGG